rnacentral:rRNA from 1 species
UACGUAGGGGGGCAAGCGUUGUCCGGAUUUAUUGGGCGUAAAGAGCGUGUAGGCGGCUAUACAGGUCCGUUGUGAAAACUGGAGGCUUAACCUCCAGACGUCGAUGGAAACCGUAUGGCUAGAGUCCGGGAGAGGUGAGUGGAAUUCCUAGUGUAGAGGGUGAAAUUCGUAGAUAUUAGGAAAGAACACCAGUGGCGAAGGGCGGCUUUCUUGGUCUUGUAACUGAACGCUGAGGCGCCGAAAG